GUGAAGGAAUAAGGGUGAAGGAAUAAUAAUAAUGACUGCUGGGUCCCAUCCAUGGCUCUGACACUUGGUGUGACCCUGAGCCAGUAGCUUCCCCUCCCCAGGCCCGUUUCCCAUCAGGGUUGGGGUCCUGUCCCUACAGCCCAGGGCAUUGGGAGGCUCCAGGAAGGUGUGUAAAGUGCCGGGAUGUCAGGAGCUGGGAGGCGCUGUCAGCCCCGCACUAGGGCAGUGUUCUGCACCCCCUGCUGCUGGCUGAGUUUCCCCAUUCCUUGGCAAUAAGACAGACUCUUGUUUUCACAGCCAGUCGAUCGCUCAGUGUCAUCACCCUGCCUGCUGGCUGGGCAGGGUAACUCCUCAGGUCACCACCCUCUCCAGCCUGCCUUGGGCUUGGAGAGGGAGGAGGAGGGUGAGGGACAGCUGGCAACCCUGAACAUUCACCCUCCAUCGCUCCAUCACCUACAGCAAGGACCCCCAGGGACUCAGAGGACGAGGAAAGGGUGGAUGUGGCCACAGAGGCGGUUGCUCUCAAAAACAUCCGAGAGCAGCUCCAGGGCCGAGAAAAGGAUGAGGCCCAGCAGCUCAUGUUCCUGCAUGCCAUCCACCCCGCGUGUCUCGCUGCACAGCAGAGAAGGCAGGACACACUGGAGCCACACUGCUGCAAGGCAGCUGUGGUGGAGAGGAUUGUGGAGCUCAUUGAGGAGCUGCCUGAUAACUCUCCACCCGGCGGCGUCCUCGCUAACUCCCUAAUUGCUGUGGGCAACCUCAGCACCAUGACACCUGCCCUGGUGCCAGAGCUAGAGAAGCACCUCCUGUGAGCUGCCCUGCAUGCCAUCUUCACCCUAGGCACGGAGAAGGACACCACCCAAGUCCAGGCUCUGCACAAGGUAUUGCCAGAACUCCUGGACACCAUGCUGGGGAACCUGCUGGCAGAGUCCCCAGACAUCGACAGGCUCCACUACAUCUUGGAACACAUCAACUUCUGGAUCAUGUCCAGAGUAUCCCAGGAGAGAGCCAGGGCCAUUAGGAGCAGCACGGCCCUGCUCAGAUCCACCAUCACUCUCCCUGAGUUUGACACCAGACAUGGGCAAACUAAAGCCCACGCGCCACAUCCAGCCCAUGGGACUGUCUUGCCCAGCCCCUGAGCUCCUGACCUGGGAGGCUAGCCCUGGCUCGUCCCCUGCUGUCCCCCCACCCCCGCAGCCUCAGCUUGCUCACUCGGCCGCUGGCGCAAUGCUCUGGGAGGUGGGCUGAGAGCUGGCAGGCAAAGAUCAGGGAGGUCAGGAGCAGAAGGAGAAGAUCAGCAAAACCUAAAAGAGCAGUAAGGAAGAACACCUGAAGGAGCAGCAGGAGUGGGCUGUUGGGAUAGACCAGAGGGAAGGUAGAUUCUGAAGAGUAAGUAUGCCAGCUAUAGUAUAGGAUAUAGAACAGAAGUAGGGUUAAUGAAUGUGUAUGCUUAAGAUAAUAAGGUUAGAUGUCUGUAUGUGAAUGUUUGUUACUAUAAAGUUUAGAAUUUAUUAAGAUUGCUCUCCAUAUCCUGCAUGUGACUGAUUACCAUAUGCAAAACAUAAUCACUUAAGCUAUUCCAACUGUAUGAUAUUGCAGUUUUGGGUACUCUAGCUUGUAUACCUGUGCUAAGGAGUUUGUUUAUGCUUUCAACUUAAGUUUAGAUUAACUAUAUUAGGGAAAGAUUGUUUAAAUAAACAAAACACUUUUUUCUUUUGAAAGAA